GGAAUUUUGGACAAUGGGCGCAAGCCUGAUCCAGCAAUGCCGCGUGCAGGAAGAAGGCCUUCGGGUUGUAAACUGCUUUUGUACGGAACGAAAAGGCCCUGGUUAAUACCUGGGGAACAUGACGGUACCGUACGAAUAAGCACCGGCUAACAACGUGCCCGCAGCCGCGGUAAUACGUAGGGUGCAAGCGUUAAUCGGAAGUACUGGGCGUAAAGCGUGCGCAGGCGGUUUUGUAAGACAGGCGUGAAAUCCCCGGGCUUAACCUGGGAAUUGCGCUUGUGACUGCAAGGCUGGAGUGCGGCAGAGGGGGAUGGAAUCCCGCGUGUAGCAGUGAAAUGCGUAGAUAUGCGGAGGAACACCGAUGGCGAAGGCAAUCCCCUGGGCCUGCACUGACGCUCAUGCACGAAAGCGUGGGGAGCAAAC
rnacentral:rRNA from 1 species